CCUACGGGAGGCAGCAGUGAGGAAUAUUGGUCAAUGGGCGAGAGCCUGAACCAGCCAAGUCGCGUGAAGGAUGACUGUCUUAUGGAUUGUAAACUUCUUUUGUAGGGGAAUAAAGAGAGGCACGUGUGCCUCAGUGAAUGUACCCUACGAAUAAGCAUCGGCUAACUCCGUGCCAGCAGCCGCGGUAAUACGGAGGAUGCGAGCGUUAUCCGGAUUUAUUGGGUUUAAAGGGUGCGUAGGCGGCCUGUUAAGUCAGCGGUGAAAUCUAGGAGCUUAACUCCUAAAUUGCCAUUGAUACUGGCGGGCUUGAGUGUAGAUGAGGUAGGCGGAAUGCGUGGUGUAGCGGUGGAAUGCAUAGAUAUCACGCAGAACUCCGAUUGCGAAGGCAGCUUACUAAGGUACAACUGACGCUGAAGCACGAAAGCGUGGGUAUCAAACAGGAUUAGAUACCCUGGUAGUCCACGCAGUAAACGAUGAUAACUGGGCGUAUGCGAUAUAAGUAUGCUCCUAAGCGAAAGCGUUAAGUUAUCCACCUGGGGAGUACGCCGGCAACGGUGAAACUCAAAGGAAUUGACGG
rnacentral:rRNA from 1 species